rnacentral:lncRNA from 1 species
AAUUGGAGGAGAGUGGUAAGGCCACUAUAAGUUCCAGUGGUGCGGCAAAGCAGCUGAAGGAGAUGGUGAGUGUUUCAUGUGGCUUGUCUUGUAUUCAUAAAUAAAAGCCUGUUACUAUCAUAAGUUGUGAAAUGAUGUAGUUUGGAAAUUUGUUGCAGGAACCUGUGCAUUCCGCACAGCCUAGUCUAAGUGACGAGGAAACUAUUCCAACAGGUUGCAGUAAUCAAAAUGAACCUGGUAUGAUAGUUCCGCUUUUUCACUUCUGUUGCAUUCAGAGAAAAAUCCAGCGAAUGAUGCAUCAGUAACGGUUUUU